rnacentral:rRNA from 1 species
AUACGUAGGGAGCAAGCGUUGUCCGGAUUUACUGGGUGUAAAGGGUGCGUAGGCGGCUCUGCAAGUCAGGCGUGAAAUACAUGGGCUUAACCCAUGGACUGCGUCUGAAACUGUGGAGCUUGAGUGGAGUAGAGGUAGGCGGAAUUCCCGGUGUAGCGGUGAAAUGCGUAGAGAUCGGGAGGAACACCAGUGGCGAAGGCGGCCUACUGGGCUUUAACUGACGCUGAGGCACGAAAGCAUGGGUAGCAAACAGGAUUAGAUACCCUGGUAGUCCAUGCUGUAAACGAUGAUUACUAGGUGUGGGGGGUCUGACCCCUUCCGUGCCGGAGUUAACACAAUAAGUAAUCCACCUGGGGAGUACGACCGCAAGGUUGAA